AGCAGCCGCCACGGGAAUACGGAGGAUCCAAGCGUUAUCCGGAUUUAUUGGGUUUAAAGGGUGCGUAGGUGGCCUGUUAAGUCAGGGGUGAAAGACGGUAGCUUAACUAUCGCAGUGCCCUUGAUACUGAUGGGCUUGAAUGAACUAGAGGUAGGCGGAAUGCGACAAGUAGCGGUGAAAUGCAUAGAUAUGUCACAGAACACCAAUUGCGAAGGCAGCUUACUAUGGUUUUAUUGACACUGAGGCACGAAAGCGUGGGGAUCAAACAGGAUUAGAUACCCCAGUAGUCCCUGUCUCUUAUAC
rnacentral:rRNA from 1 species